rnacentral:rRNA from 1 species
UGCCUCAGUAACGGCGAGUGAAGCGGCAACAGCUCAAAUUUGAAAUCUGGCUCCUUCGGGGUCCGAGUUGUAAUUUGCAGAGGAUGCGUCGGGUACGGGUCCCUACCGAGUUCCCUGGAACGGGACGCCAUAGAGGGUGAGAGCCCCGUCUGGUAGGAUACCCAGCCCAUGUGACGCUCCCUCGACGAGUCGAGUAGUUUGGGAAUGCUGCUCUAACGGGAGGUAUACUCCUUCCAAAGCUAAAUACCGGCUGGAGACCGAUAGCGCACAAGUAGAGUGAUCGAAAGAUGAAAAGCACUUUGAAAAGAGAGUCAAACAGCACGUGAAAUUGUUAAAAGGGAAGCACUCGCUACCAGACUUGGGUUUGGCGGUUCAACCGGGGCCACGCCCCGGGGCAUUCCGCCAGCUCAGGCCAGCAUCAGCUUUCCGUCGGGGGCAAAGACGUCGGGAAUGUGGCUCCCCCUCGGGGGAGUGUUAUAGCCCGGCGUGUCAUACCCUUCGGGGGGCUGAGGUACGCGCUUCUGCAAGGAUGCUGGCGUAAUGGUAGCUAGUGACCCGUCUUGAAACACGGACCAAGGAGUCAACCUUAUGUGCGAGUGCCCGGGCGUAAAACCCCAGCGCGGAAUGAAAGUGAACGUAGGUGAGAGCUUCGGCGCAUCACCGACCGAUCCUGAUGUCCUCGGACGGAUUUGAGUGAGAGCAUAUAGGGUUGGACCCGAAAGAAGAUGAACUAUGCGUGUGUAGGGUGAAGCCAGAGGAAACUCUGGUGGAGGCUCGCAGCGGUUCUGACGUGCAAAUCGAUCGU